GACGUAGGGGGCAAGCGUUAUUCGGAAUUAUUGGGCGUAAAGCGCUCGUAGGCGGGAAAACAAGUCCGUGUUGAAAUACCUCGGCUCAACUGAGGAACCGGCUCGGAUACUGUUUUUCUUGAGGCAUUCAGAGGGUGAUGGAAUUCCCGGUGUAGCGGUGAAAUGCGUAGAUAUCAGGAGGAACACCGGUGGCGAAAGCGCUCAUCUGGCCCAAUACUGACGCUGAGGCGCGAAAGCUAGGGGAGCAAACGGG
rnacentral:rRNA from 1 species